CAAAUUUUAAUCCUGGACUGGCUGUGACUAGAAAUUUGACUUCUUUACAACAUAUUGCCUGUGACACUAGACCCUUUCUGAACUGAAAAGCAAAUUCAAAGUGAAUGUACUCUUCUCCCUUCUCCUCUUGAGAUGUCAGCUUUAUGUACAUUGGGGUAACCAGUCUUUUAUCCAGUCUAAUUGCACUAAUUUCCAUUAUGAUAAUGCCCUGGGCUUAGCUGACAAGAGGCCUCACUGGAUUAUUUAAUGUAUUUGGAUACGGCAGGAGACCACUUCUCCUCUGAAGAGGCUGGGCCCAAAUGGGAAAAGCAGACAGUAAGGGGGAGAAAGAAACAGUAAAUCAAAGCAAAAGAGUGAGUGGAAACAUCAGAGAGAUCUGUGAUUUUCCCUAUAGAUUUGCAGGAAGUCUUUUGUAGAGCCAGAAAUACUGCUUAGUUCGUUUGCACAUCACUAGGAAACCUCAGCAGUAAAACCAUCUUUGCUCAUCGUUGGACAGCUAACCCUGCCACGUUCAAGGUCAGGUGCUGUAGAAGAUGUCUCCAGGGUAGGGAAUGGUUACUGUGAGGCAGCACAUCCUGGUAAAACCUCCAAAUGGAGCAGGGAACCUUUGGGCAGAUGUUUAUAAAAGCCCUUGUGAUAGACAGUGCUGUGUUCAGCAAGAGCUGCUGGCUCCCUGUCCUUACAUCCUAUCAGCAUGAAAGUGUCUCUUGGCCUCAGCCUCCUCCUGGCUAUCCUAGAUCCAGGGAACACUCUUCAGUGUGAGGUUUGUCACAGCCUAGGAAAAACCUGCUCUGGCCCCCGGAAGAACUGUAGUGGUGAUGAAAAUACCUGUGGCACCAUUGUGCAUGAGGCCACGAUAGGGGGGAUGGAAAUCUAUUCAUCCAUCAAGACCUGCCUGAUGUCCAGUGUGUGCCAUCUGGGUGCUGUCACCAUGAACUAUGGGAAAGUAAAAGGAAGAACUGGCUUGGCCUGCUG
ensembl:lncRNA